rnacentral:rRNA from 1 species
UAGGGAAUAUUGGACAAUGGGGGGAACCCUGAUCCAGCCAUGCCGCGUGGAGGAAGACUGCCCUCUGGGUUGUAAACUCCUUUUAUAUGGGAAGAACCGUCCUCAUUGAUGAGUGACCUGACGGUACCACAGGGAUAAGCACCGGCUAACUCCGUGCCAGCAGCCGCGGUAAUACGGAGGGUGCAAGCGUUAUCCGGAUUCACUGGGUUUAAAGGGUGCGUAGGCGGAUAUGUAAGUCAGUGGUGAAAUCAACGGGCUCAACCUGUUAACUGCCAUUGAUACUGUGUAUCUUGAAUAUGAGAGAGGUAGGCGGAAUGUUGCAUGUAGCGGUGAAAUGCUUAGAUAUGCUACGGAACACCGAUUGCGAAGGCAGCUUACUAUUUCGUAAUUGACGCUGAGGCACGAAAGCGUGGGUAGCGAACA